AUUGAACGCUGGCGGCAGGCCUAACACAUGCAAGUCGAGCGGCAGCGGAAAGUAGCUUGCUACUUUGCCGGCGAGCGGCGGACGGGUGAGUAAUGUCUGGGAAACUGCCUGAUGGAGGGGGAUAACUACUGGAAACGGUAGCUAAUACCGCAUAACGUCGCAAGACCAAAGAGGGGGACCUUCGGGCCUCUUGCCAUCAGAUGUGCCCAGAUGGGAUUAGCUAGUAGGUGGGGUAACGGCUCACCUAGGCGACGAUCCCUAGCCGGUCUGAGAGGAUGACCAGCCACUCUGGAACUGAGACACGGUCCAGACUCCUACGGGAGGCAGCAGUGGGGAAUAUUGCACAAGGGGCGCAAGCCUGAUGCAGCCAUGCCGCGUGUAUGAAGAAGGCCUUCGGGUUGUAAAGUACUUUCAGCGGGGAGGAAGGCGAUAAGGUUAAUAACCUUGUCGAUUGACGUUACCCGCAGAAGAAGCACCGGCUAACUCCGUGCCAGCAGCCGCGGUAA
rnacentral:rRNA from 1 species